GCGCGUGUGGUGUAGGCGGAAACACGGCGGCCUUCCAAGCCGCCUUCGCGGGUUCGAGGCCCGUCACGCGCUCCA
rnacentral:tRNA from 1 species